CAUGUACAUUUUUAUAUUGGUCUAGUGCAAACAGAGUACCACUUUAUAUUAUCUCUUCCAUGGUAAGAUGUAUGCAGUGUGUGGCCAUGUUUACUUACACUUAUUCUAGACAAAAUUCUGAGACUGUAAAAUGUAUAUAGUUAACGUUUGUUUGGGCUUAUGACCUGACUUCUAAGAGCUGCUUCUAACUCAGCCUUAGGUCAUCAAUUAACAGAGCAGGAAUUUGAGCACAACCUUGUCCACAGACCAUUUUAAAUACCCACUUAGGCCUAUGUAGUUAGUAGAUGGAUGGGCCCCACUUUUACAGGUUGAGCUUGAGUUCCCUACUCAGUUGUGCAGCUUAACAUGCUGAGUGAGGCACAUUCCCCUAUGGACUGUCUACAUCACUAUCCCUCUAAGCCCAAAAAUAUAACUAACAAGAAAAGUGGUAUGAUCUAGAAACAGGGGUCAUUGCUUCAUUUAGAGGAUAUUAUUGUUAACCACGACCUCUUUCAAAUAAGAUGGUAGUUUUACGGUAAUCCAACACAAGUUGUUAUAAGCAGUCCUUGAUGUGUUUUUGAUGGUAUCAGCUGGAAACCCUCAAGUCAGAGGGCAUCCCACACUAGAUAUAAAGUAGAUGUUGCCUAUUGCUGUGCUUAUAAAUGAAAAAGGCAGUCUAGGACUCUCGCAAAUGCCAGAAUGUAAGAUAGUAAUUCAGUAUGCUCCCUGGGUCUUUAAGGCAUGGGUUGACAGGAUUUGUUUAUUUUCUUAAAAUGAGCUUCUUUUCAUAUUUAUUAUCCUCCUUUACUUCUCUGAGAAUGAACUGUAUAAAAUAAGCUUCAAUUUACUUGCAUUUAUCUUCCAAACCCAAUGUAGAAGGAUAUUUUCAUUUUUAAAAGAAGUGGGGAAAAGACCAGAGUUUUAUAGGAGAAAAUUGGAGGAAAAAACGGGCACAAAACCUCAGAAGGCAGCUGUUCCCAGCAGCUUUCUAGUUAACAACCUCUAUGCUGCCUCUUGUAUCUGUGUCUGUAUUCUACUUCUGUAUUAAGUCUUCAGAUUGUAAGCCUUUUCUGGCAAGGUUUUUUGUUUUUGUUUUUGUUUUUUAAAAAUCUCUUUUCCUGAAACUUUUUAUGAAUGGCUGUGGCACCAUUAAUGCUGCUGAAUAUCUAUAAACUCAUCACAAAGGCAAGUGCGUAGCUUAAGGCCACUAUUGGUAAGGAAACCAAGUGUCCUCUGUGCCUUUUUCCUUUCCUUGAAGUAAUUUAAGACAUCCCAAAAAUGCGACUAAAAAAUUAUGAUCGUGGUACAACAUGGUGCAUAUGUGCACUCAGAAGCUUAAAUAGGGCUUGUGUUUUCUGGAACUCAGCAAGCUCUAAAUCUAUCAGAGCAGACUUUCUGAGAUACCUAGUUUUAUGUGUUGGCUUUGCUAGCGUUUGAUAGGAAAGUGAAGACUCUAAUCAGCUCUAGUAUUGCUUACUAAGAGGGUAAUACUAAACUUGGAAAAUUAAGUAGGUUUUAUCAAGCAAUCUGGGUUUGUUUGUUUUUAAUAUAGUUUUUAAUGGAUAUGUGAAAACUGAAAGAAAUGUCAAAGGUUUUUUAAUGGUACAGGUGAAGGUGCCAGUUGCUAUUUGGUAUCACACUCUACAAAAGCUUCAUUACUUUAUUUGAUGCUGGUUACUAAGCAGCCAUUGCACAGAGCAUAAGUCGACUGGGUGCCUUUACAAGCCAGAGGCUGAUGCUGCACUGUUGAUGUCAUAUGAGGAAAUAAUGCACAUGCUCUAACUGCUUGGAAAAGAAAAAGAACCUAGAAACAAAAUGAAGAACAAAACGACAAAAAGUUUGAUUGAAAUAAAACUUGAUCAACGUAACUGUAUUUUGGAACAUUCCAGGAAGGUUACUUCUUGUCAUACUUGCCUGGGGGUGUUUGUUCAAAGCUUGUAUUUAAUAAAUGAACAUCUGACU
ensembl:lncRNA